rnacentral:rRNA from 1 species
AUUGAACGCUGGCGGCAGGCCUAACACAUGCAAGUCGAGCGAGCGACGGGCGGGUGAGUAAUCUCUGGGAAACCGCUUGCUGGAGGGAGCUAACUACAGGAAAAGGUAGCUAAGACCGCAUACGAUCAGAUGUGCCCAGAUGGGAUUAGCUAGUAGGGGGGGGAACGGCCCACCUAGGCGUCGAUCCCUAGCUGGUUUGAGAGGACGACCAGCCACACUGGAACUGAGACACGGUCCAGACUCCUACGGGAGGCAGCAGUGGGGAAUAUUGCACAAUGGGGGCAAGCCUGAUGCAGCCAUGCCGCGUGUGUGAUGAAGGCCUUCGGGUUGUAAAGCACUUUCAGCGGGGAGGCGUUACCCGCAGAAGAAGCACCGGCUAACUCCGUGCCAGCAGCCGCGGUAAUUC